UUUUUUUUUUUUUUUUUUUUUUUUUUUGAGAAGUAGCGUGCUUGUUAGUAGUGGGGAAUUUAUAUCUGAGAAUUGGCGCAAAAAAUCGCAAGCAAAAGCUAAAACCGCUGAAAAAUAAC
rnacentral:ribozyme from 1 species